CAGCACCUCAAGUGGUCAGGAUGAUUAUUGGGCCUAAAGCAUCCGUAGCCGGCGCUGUAAGUUUUCGGUUAAACCUGUACGCUCAACGUACAGGCUGCCGGGAAUACUGCAGCGCUAGGGAGUGGGAGAGGUAGACGGUACUCGGUAGGAAGGGGUAAAAUCCUUUGAUCUAUUGAUGACCACCUGUGGCGAAGGCGGUCUACCAGAACACGUCCGACGGUGAGGGAUGAAAGCUGGGGGAGCAAACCGGAUUAGAGACCCGAGUAGUCC
rnacentral:rRNA from 1 species